UACAGAGGUCUCAAGCGUUGUUCGGAUUCAUUGGGCGUAAAGGGCGCGUAGGCGGCGACUCAAGUUAGAUGUGAAAGUCCUGGGCUUAACCUGGGGACUGCAUUUGAUACUGGGUUGCUUGAAUUCGGGAGAGGAUAGCGGAAUUCCCAGUGUAGAGGUGAAAUUCGUAGAUAUUGGGAAGAACACCGGUGGCGAAGGCGGCUAUCUGGACCGACAUUGACGCUGAGGCGCGAAAGCGUGGGGAGCAAACAGG
rnacentral:rRNA from 1 species